rnacentral:rRNA from 1 species
CCCGCUGAACUUAAGCAUAUCAAUAAGCGGAGGAAAAGAAACUAACAAGGAUUCCCCUAGUAACGGCGAGUGAAGCGGGAAAAGCUCAAAUUUGAAACCUGGCCUCUUCGAGGAAAAUGUCGCAGGGUUGUAGUUUAUAGAGGCGUUUUCGAUGGAAUCCUGGGUAUAAGUCUUUUGGAACAAGGCAUCAUAGAGGGUGAGAAUCCCGUCUUUGACUCAGAGUUUUCCAUUAUGUGAUACGUCUUCAUAGAGUCGAGUUGUUUGUGAAUGCAGCUCAGAAUGGGUGGUAAGUCUCAUCUAAAGCUAUAUAUUGGAGAGAGACCGAUAGCGAACAAGUACCGUGAGGCAAAGAUGAAAAGAACUUUGAAAAGAGAGUUAAACAGUACGUGAAAUUGUUGAAAGGGGAACGUUUGAAAUCAGUCAUUUCUUCUGGAAAUCACCCUUGCUCUUGCAUGGUGUAUUUUCCAGUAGAAAGGUUAACGUCAAUUUUGGUUGUCGGAUAAAAGCCUUUGCAAUGUGGCUCUCUUCGGGGAGUGUUAUAGCCAGGGUCAAUACGAUGACUGGGAUUGAGGAUUCGCCGCCAAUGCUCUCUGGGCAGUGGCAUCAUGCGCUCAGGUUGACACUCUGCUAGACAGCUUGCUGACUAGUAGCUAGAAGAUUAGACUCGUGUGGUUCCCACUAAUGGGCGUAGGACGUUAACAUAAUGGUUUUAAACGACCCGUCUUGAAACACGG